rnacentral:lncRNA from 1 species
CAAAACCUAAAUUCCCAAAAAUCCUAAAGCGGCGCCCCUGACUAUUGUUCUUCUUCUCCAGUCCGAUUCAAUCCCAACUCUCCUGAAAACUCAGGCGAGUUCACUCACGCGCACCCUUAUCUCACCACGUCAGCAAGAUUCUAACGGCCUCUGACAAAAUAAGAAGGUUCCUUCCGAAUUUUUCACGUGCCUUUUAACUCUUGAGCGAUUUGUUGGAUGGAUGGGAGCCGUGGAUGGAUGGAAUCAAUCUAUGCCCUCCAUCUGUCCCUAAAUCGUUCACAGAAGAUUUGAGAGGAUUUCUAGAUUUUUAGAAGAAGGUUCGAGAUUUUUGAGGGGUUAUAUAAGGUAAGGAUUUUCUUGUUUAGGGGGGGGGGGGCUGAAAAAACAGAGAAUUUUGAGGAAUUUUUCGGGCAGAUUUAAUUUGAUAGAAAAAUUAGGGUUCUAGGAAAUGUUUUCUUCUGCUCUGUUGUUCAUCUUCGUUUUUUAGUUUAAUUCCAGACAUAACAAAAAAAAACUACAAAUAUUGGCUUCUUUUAGUUUGAUAUUCGAUCUUUGUUUUUUUCAUCUUUAAAUUCGGAAAGUUCACUUUUAUUAUGGAGUUGGAUUGAGUUCGAGAGUCGAAGUUGUUCGAAUCGUCGAUUGCUUGCCGAUCGAGGUUUUGUUCGUGGUUGCUAGUUUCUAUUUCUCAGCUGUUGUCACUCCCAAUUUCAAGGCCGGAUUCGUUUGUAUUAGAUUCUAAACGAAAUUAAUCAAAGCUUCACGCAAUUAGGUUCAAUCUCUUUUUCUUUUCUUAUGUCUGUUUGGAUGUUGAUUGAAAAUACGAUAAGAGCCAUGGGAAUCCAUUUAUAGAAGUAAUUCUUUGAUUAAUUCCAUUAGAGGUUGAAUUUGGAGUUAGCAUUCAGUUUCAGUUCACGUCUGGAAAUGAUAUUUGACAUGUCGUUUGUUGUUUGAAUCCUACACUCACUGUUUUGAUUUGCUUGAGCAUGCUCAGUUAGCAAAAGUUAAUUCGAAUGGUUAUUUUCUAUGCCUCGAAUGCUUUAGCCAUUAACUCAAAAGUUAAUUCAUUGUUCUGCCCUGCCUUAUGACUGUCAAAUGAGUCUGAAUCAGUAAUGUAUAUUCUCAUGGUUCUUCACUUGGUUAUCUGAUUCUCUAGUACGAGUGAUUUCUGGUGCUAGAAUAUUUAGACCGUAGUUAAAUUGUUAGGGUCGUAUGCCUGCUCGUCGACGCCUAAAUCGUUCUGUUCUCUUCUUUUGAACGAGCAUAGCGGUUUGUGCUUGGAUUAUGUUGUUAUCAAAAGAUUAAUCACAUCACUUUAGGAAGGUUGAAAUGGCUGCUUCAAUCUCUUGGAGUUUCAUGAGUUUAGUCGUCUUCCUCAUGUUCUGAUUUGCUCGAUCCCUUAUAUGUUCGACUGAGAAACGUUAGACUUCAUGACCAUUAGUUGAAAGCUUGAAUUGUUGGUGUACUUGUGUGUGAUUUUCCAGAAACAAUCUUUGCUUGCCUCUAUGCAUGUUAAUUGGCAACACUUAACUUCAUGUAAAAUUAAAGCUUCCAAUCCAUGUCUCUAAGGUUUGCAUUCCUGGUGCAUUUGUUGAACCCCACUGAUUCUAAGUUGUAUUUGUUUAAAUCUUAGUCAAUGGGUUUGUUGUCAUCUUUGGAUUAAAUUUUCAUGUUUGUCCCUUUUCUUUGCUAUUAUAGUUUGGUGAUGUUUGAUUUACAGUACCCAUAUGAGCUUGCUAAUUGUUCUAGUUUUCUGUUAUCUUCGUCAUUUUCUCGUAUAUUGAACCCCAUAAAUUGUUCUCACGGGCCUUAUUCGUUAAAGUCGAUACAUGCUGCUUCUAGGAUACAUGAGUGAAGUUGUAUAUGAAAUUCAGUGAAGUGUGAAAGUAGUUAAUUGUUGGAUUAUAUUGCUAAAGAAACUUGUUGAGAAUUGUUUAUACUGUUGGUGUAAGAAUAGUUACAUUCAAGGGGCCAUAUCAUCUUUUUUUUUCUUUGAUUUUCUGGAAUACAGCCAAAUCCACUAGGAAUAAAUACCUUGCCUCCUUUUACUGAUUGUUUGUCGCGGAAAUAUGUAACUUUACAAUUCAUAUAUUUAUGUGGCUUUUCUUAUGGUUCAUCACUAGAAAUUAGUAGAAGCACUUAGCAUUCCAUUAUCAACAUAGCUUCACUCCCCGUACUAUUGGUAGUUUGCACUAUUUUAUUGGUUAGCGUGAUUGUGUAUACGUUCGCGUAACAUGAUUACAAUUCUAAAAAUCAAUUCGGAGUAUGCAUUCGCGCAACUUCGGUUAAACUCUCUUAAUAUUAAAAUUGUUUUAAUAGGCCACUAAUUAAUUUUAGUUUAUAUAGUUUUGAGGUGUGCUAUCUACAGUUUAAUUAUUCAUGGCCCUCAUAUUGAUAACCUAGAUAUAAAAAUAACAUAUGAUCAUAAUUUGCUUUAGGCACGUUUAAUAUAUUAUCGUGGUCGUGGACACGUUAGCGUGACAUGAUUACGAUUUUAAAAACAAAAUCGGAGUAUGCGUUCGCGCAACUUUGACGAAACUUUUCUUAAUAAUAAUAAAGCGUUAUUAAUUGUGGACACGAUCGCGUGACAUAAUUUUUGACGCGCCGAACAAAUGGGUACAUGUGCGCGUGACCCGUUUCAAGAUAAUUUCUUAAUUAAAAGGCUGUAAAAGGUAAAAGCACCUAGGUUCUUAAAUAAGUAACUAGACAAUUUAAUAAGCCAAGUAUGAUCAAAGCUUCCGUGCUAGAACCACGGAACUCGGGAAUGCCUAACACCUUCUCCCGGGUUAACAGAAUUCUUUACACGGAUUUCUGUGUUCGCAGACCGUAAAUAAGAGUCAACUUCCUCGAUUCGGGAUUUUAAACCGGUGACUUGGGACACCAUAAUUAUCUCAAGUGGCGACUCUAAUUUUUAAAUAAAUAAUCCUGUUUCGGUUAUUACCACUUUCUACCCCGGAAGGGGGUAGAAAAAGGAGGUGUGACAACUAUAAUGCAAAAAAAGUUGGACAGUUUCAGUUAUAGAAGAGCUACGGAUGUUAAUUGCCAAUUUACCAUCGACAUCUUUUGUGAGUCUUCAUUCUUAAUUUUAUGUUGUGCUUUGGUACCUUUGAUAGCUUUAAGCAACAACACACUCUUUCUUCUUUCUAAUAGCAAAUUGUCAAAAGUAAAUAUCUUCUUGCUGUGUUGACAGAGGUCCAUUGAUAUAAUUAAAGAAAUCCCAGUUCUCAGGGUGUUGAUUUUAGAAAAUGCACAAAGCUUCUGUACGAUUACCAAUUACUUUCAUUUUGAGAAUGAUUUUCAUCAAAUCCUUUCCUUCUUAACAAUAACAAACUAUAUCUAUUCUGUCAAGUAUGUUUUACUUCUUGUUCGAAUAUGAAAACGAAACCUGAACUUGUAUAUAGAAUUGUUGCAAAUGUGCAGUUUAUUUGAUGUUAUAGAGUAAAAUGUGCUUGUUGGCACUGAAAUUAAGGUGAAAAAUCUCCGCAUACCUCCCUCAUUUGUUGUGGAAUUUACAGAAGUUUUUGGUUUAUGAAUUUGGAGAAUAUGAUUGAACUUACCACAUAGCAGGAAACAUAUGUUUAUCACUAUUCCAGGAAUUGAACCUUGCAUGGGAAUGUAGUUGAGACUUGAGAUUACAAGUUUCAAUUUGAGGUUUCAAAAGUUAAUGUAAGAAGUAAGAAAGAUCCUAUUGUGUCCCUCAACUAUUGACUUUCGCUUAACUUUGCCGUCUAUUAGAAGUUGCAAACAGAAAAAAUCCUCAUUGGGACCUCCUCGCUCAGUUGGUGCAACCCUUCCCUCUCCUCGCUUUCUCUAUGCCCCUACAAAGAGACAAUUCCAUCUUUGUCCUCCAACCCCUCCUCACUCCCUACCUGCUUGGAAAAUAUGAUAUGUAUGGGUAAAGGUGAAGUACCUUGCGCUUUUCUAUCUUGCUUCUUGUUCAGUUAUUUCUCUAAUGUUUCCUUUUUAUUAUAACCACCGGAAAUUUGCAAUAUAAAAUGAUAAUUGAUUUCUUCAUUUUUCCUUGCUCCACAGGACAAAGGGUACUUUGUUUUGAAUGAUGUUCUUAGGUAUGUAGAAGGAAAUGAUACUGUUAACAGUUCAGAAAUUGUCAAUGGAGUCGAGGAUGUACCACCCGUGCAUAUGACGUCCGAUCCAGGUUGGAUUUUUGUCAAAUUGUACAACUUUUCUGCCCUUUCCUUUUCAAAUUGCUUACCUGUUUUUUUUUUUUUUUAGUAGAACCAGCUGAUGUGCUUGAUCCUCCAAAUCACGGACAGCCGAGCUCUCAUGCAGCAGAAGAAAUUCAAAUUGUUGAGGAAGUAGUUCAUGGUUCUUUGGAAGGUAAGAGACUAGUUGGUGAUGAAAGAGAGAUUGUGGUGGAGGCUGAAUCUCAUAUUAUUGAGAGCCAUAAUUAUGAGAAUGCAGAACCAGGUUGCCCAAGAAGAUGCUCCUAAGAAAUCUUACGUGUGAGCACCUAAUUUUUGACAAUAUUUAAUUUUUUUUUGUCACUUCUUUUAUAUAAAUAUUUUAGGAGGUUUUAACGUACAAAUUUUUAGCUUUGUUAUACUUUUUAUUAUAGGUUAAAAAUACAAAAUUUUAAAAGGUGAAUUAUUACUAUUAACAUUAUUUUAUAUUUAUUCUUAUUUUUAAAUAAUAAUAAAAAAUCCGAAAAAUAUUAAUUUUUCUUUAAAAUUUUCGGGAGAGAUUUAAAAAAAUAAGAAAAAAGGAAGUAUGGAAUUAAAAAAAAAGAAGAAGUAAAAGUAGGUGUAAUUCUCUUUUAAAAAAGUAAAAGAAAGUGAAAAAUUAAAAAAAUAAAAGUAAAGUUUUGUGAAAAAUUUUAAAAAUAAAAAGUAAAAGAAAGUUGGAAUUAAAAAAUAAUAUAAAGGUAGCUGAAAAUUUAAAAAAUUAAAAUUAAAAUAAAGUAGAAUUUUUUAAAGAAAAGUAAAAGAAAGUGGAUUGUUUUUUUAAGAAAAGNNNNNNNNNNNNNNNNNNNNNNNNNNNNNNNNNNNNNNNNNNNNNNNNNNNNNNNNNNNNNNNNNNNNNNNNNNNNNNNNNNNNNNNNNNNNNNNNNNNNNNNNNNNNNNNNNNNNNNNNNNNNNNNNNNNNNNNNNNNNNNNNNNNNNNNNNNNNNNNNNNNNNNNNNNNNNNNNNNNNNNNNNNNNNNNNNNNNNNNNNNNNNNNNNNNNNNNNNNNNNNNNNNNNNNNNNNNNNNNNNNNNNNNNNNNNNNNNNNNNNNNNNNNNNNNNNNNNNNNNNNNNNNNNNNNNNNNNNNNNNNNNNNNNNNNNNNNNNNNNNNNNNNNNNNNNNNNNNNNNNNNNNNNNNNNNNNNNNNNNNNNNNNNNNNNNNNNNNNNNNNNNNNNNNNNNNNNNNNNNNNNNNNNNNNNNNNNNNNNNNNNNNNNNNNGCUCGUUGCCUCUGAUUGUGGUUCAUUUGCACAUUAAAUUUGAUGGUUGUUUGCUCCAUAUGUAUUGAAUAAGAUCUUCAUCUAUAAAAGGUUCAUUCUUUUCUUAACCAAUGUUUCCAUUAUUUUUCUUUCACCGUAUUUCCUUUUGAUUUGUAUAUUAUAUUUUGGUUAUCUACCAACUUGAAAGAUAUGAACAAAAAAAAUGAAGGAAGAACAUCAAGAAAUAGAAUUCGUGAAAGACAGAAUGAAUUUCUUCAAUGAGAUUGUAGUUUAUAGGGAAAGAUAGGAAAAUGUAUUCAAAAUGGAGAGAGAACGAUGUAAUAGCUUGGAUCCAAAUUAAAGGAUGUUAAGUCAAUAGCAAAUUUGAUACCGACAUGGGUGAUUAGGUCCAUAAUAACUCAAAUCAUAUAUUUCUUCAAUAAUAAUUCUAUAUUCAUAAAUCAUGACCUUGCAAUAAUCUCAAAGUAGUUUUAGGAAGAAACAUAAUCAUGAAUAUUUGUAGUUUGCUUUAAAUUGAAUACAAUCCUUUUAGAAUAAUCGAGGCGCACCAUACCAAAUAAAAUCUCAAAACUCAUGGCCCUCAUUUAAUUAAUUUUAAUCCUUAGAAAUCGAGGCAUGCCAUUUAGUUGAAUUUUCCAUGGCCUCGCAAACUUGAAAGUGCGUAGUUGCUUUAGACGCGCUAUUUUUUUUAUAAAAAAAAUUCCUAAACUCGGGUGUGCAUUUUAUGUGACCCAAAUCCAAAUCUCAACAACGUUAGAUAAAAUGUGUCGUGGACCGCAGGUGCAUUUCAUGUGACGUGGUUCAAUACGUGUUUUAUAUGACGUUGAAUUUUUCCAAAAAAAAUUUAAUUAAAAGCGGCUAAUAAGUUAAAAAUAUACCAUAGGUUGAAACAUGUUUUAAAAAUCAGAUAAUAGGCCAAUUGUAAUAGUUUAAGCGACCGUGCUAGAACCACGAAAUUCGGGAAUGCCUAACACCUUCUCCCGGGUUAACAGAAUUCCCUACUCAGAAUUUCUGGUUCGCAGACUUCAAAAGGAAAGUCUAAAUUUCCUCGAUUUGGGAUUUAAAAUAAAUUGGUGACUUGGGACACCAAAUAAAUUAUCCCAAAUGGCGGCUCUGAAUUGAAUAAUUAAUCUAAUUUCGAAUAAUGUCACUUAAUUUGGAAAAACUCCCUUAUAUACCUUCGGGUGUGUAAAAAGAAGGUGUGACAUGCAUCGAUUGUAAGUUCUCAAACAAAGAAAUGCCCCGUCAAAAUCUAUGCCCGUCAAAAUCUAUGUACCCGCUAAUUCAAGAUUGGUUCCUUCAAAGGGUGCAAAGCAGCCUGUUAAUUCAGUUGCACAAGCUCCUGCUCCUCAAUCAUCAAUUCCGACUGCCUCCGGGGGCAAUGUACCUGAAUCUAAAGUUUCCCAGGCCGGAGGUAUCAUAUCAAUUAAAAUUCUGCACUAGCAUGAACUAUAUCACUAUUCUUAUUUUCAUUUGUGAACCAGCCUUUGCUGGGGCUGCUAAAUUGGGAUAGGAUUUUCAUAUUUGAUUUUAGAAUGUGAAGGGAGACUGAAAUAGACGGAUGUUUGAGGUUUUCUUCAUAUUAUGGGCUAUUGCAUCUACUUGCAUUAUCAUAUAUGGCUGUUUAUCCAUUGGCUUCGUUUCUUAUUGUUUACAGUCUUAUUAAUAGUGUUGUUCCAUCUAAUUUUUUUACUUCUGAUUCUUGCAGCUGAGGGGCACUCCAUUUAUGUCCGCAAUUUGCCUCUGAAUGUUACUAUUGCUCAACUUGAGGUUGAAUUUAAGAGAUUUGGACCCAUUAAGCAAGGAGUUGUACAAGUUAGAAGUAAUAGGGUUGGUUCAGAAAGCAUAUUGUACACAUCGCCGUCCUCUUUGUUUACUUAGUUUUAUAGAUAUUUAAUACAGUAUCUGUGGAUUUUCCUUUCUACAGCAACAAGGAUUCUGCUUUGGGUUUGUUGAAUUUGAAGAUUUGAGCUCCAUGAACAGAGCGAUACAGGUUUGUUCCCUCAAGUCUUUUUAAAAUGGUCCAUCUUCGUGUGAAGUUAAAAUCUGUCCAGCAUCCAGAUGUUGUGUUAUGAUUCGUUGCCUUGUUAGCUGUUGAAAGAUGCAUUAUGGAAAACAACUUUAUAAGAGAUUAAAGGGACCUAUAAUCUGCAACCCUGAAGCUGUUUGAGAUGACUUACGAACUACAAACACACACAUACAUAUUUUUAAGCUCAUUAAAGUCUCAGUUAAAAUCAACCGAAGUUUUGUCUGAUGGAUUUUAUAGUACAUAGACUAGAUCUAUAAUGUGGGGAUAUUCCUUCUUUUUUAUUUUCCUCCCUUUUUCUUUCGAAGUUAUCAUGAUGCUUCAUGUUACUAGGUCUUUUUCACCUCUUUUUUUGUUUCUUGUACUUCAAACAUGCUUUAUUAUGCUUCAUAGGACUAGGUUUUUUUCAUAUUUUUUUGUUUGUUGGACUUCAAAAAAUGCUUUAUUAUGGCUACUAUUACAUUGUUUGGUUCCAUGAUUUAACUAUACCAAAUCUUUUAUUCAGGCAUCACCUGUUACCAUUGGAGGCCAUCAAGCUGAUGUUGAGAUAAAGAGAACCACAACUAGAGGUCAGAUAAAAGACUCUAUUAUCCUUAAAAGCAGACAGAUAUCGACUUCAACAUCAUGGAGUAGGGUUUGAAAUCCUGAAAAUUCCCGUAUUUAUAGAUUUCUGUCAGUUUCGACAUGCGGCCACCACAUACGGUCCGUAUGUUGGACAUACGGUCGUAUAUUGGUCGAAUGUCAACUCUCAAGCCUAUGAUGGUGCAUAUGUGGUUAAUAUACGGCCGAUAUACGGUUAAUAUAUGGCUUGUAUAAUAAAUAUACUGCCCGUAUGUUGAAUGUAUAGCCUCCGCAUGUCAAAUUCAGAGACUUGAAUUUUUCAAACACUUUUGGUCUCAGCAGACGUACAAAUUAAGUCAUUAAAUGGUUCUUUGUUUAUAUCGUCAAACUCUGAUUUGUUGUUUGAACCACAACUUCAUCACAAAAAUGAGACAUCUAGUUUUUCAAUGUCCUAUUGCAGUUGGUAGUGGGAGAGGCCGUUUCCCUUCUGGUAGAGGGGGAUACCGAAAUGACAAUUUCAGGGGCCGUGGAAACUUUAGUGGAGGUAGAGGCUAUGGUAGAAAUGACUUUGUUGGAGAACGUGAAUUUCCAGGUCGUGGAAGGAGUCAGGGAGGACGAAGUGGUGAAGGUUACCAACAAGGAAGAGGGAGAGGUGGUCGGAGAGGUGGCCUAAAUCACAAUCCUGCUUCAGCAUAGUUUGGGUGGAGAAAUUUUGGUGGCAAAAUUUGACCUAUUUUUUUGUUAGCCAGUUUACUUGUGAGUCGAGAAUAUUUUUCUAACAGAUUUUUUGUGUAGGUGACGUUAUGUUUCACAGGGUAGAAAAUUGUAACUUGCACAACUUUAGUCCUUAAUGUUAUUUCCAACUAACUAUAUUGUUUAACCAAAAAAUAGAAUUUCAGUCAAACCUAAAAUUUAGAAGAACACGAGUUACUGAUAAUCAAAAAAAUAUGCAAAGGAAAGUAAUUUGAAGUAAUUAGAGUGUAAUCAAGAGAAAAAACAAGUAAAUCAAAGUAUAUUCCGAUGAUAUCUCUUGUCCCUGCAAUUGAUCAGAUACCUCCCUUUUAUAGGUAUCCUGAAGAUUUGCGUUUUCCCCAAAUCAUAAUGAGGCUAUUAUGAAUAAUUAAAGACAUCGAAUGCUACGUUACAUAAUCAUUAUAAUCAAUACAAAUUCUCUAACGUAUCCAGUAUUUAAUGUCUGCCAAAUUCUGUAUCUGCGCUCUUUACUAUGGUCAGAUCCAUUCCCUUUGAUUCUUGAAUAUAAAUGACUUAAACACGUACGGCCACUCGUGCCUCUUCCUUUGUCCUUGCUCGUUUCUAUUGCUGCUCGUGCCUCUUGAUUAAUUGUAAUUCUUUGACUAUUUGACCAGUCCACGUGUCUUGACACGUCAUCUUUAUAUAAAUGUAAUUUUUACCAAUACAGAUAGUUCCCCCACUUUCCAUGUAUUCAUCGUUGAAUAUUUGGGAAGUGGAUUUCAUUAAAACGAGAAUUUUUGUCACCAUUAAUGCUAUGACAAAAUUGACGCUUCAAUUGUCACUUCCAUUUAAUACUCCGUACACGUAUCAAUUUUUCAUUGGUUCUACAGUUUUUGCAGCCUCUUUCAAGGUUUUUACGGUUCCACUAUUUACGAAGUGCUAGUUAUCAUAAUUGUGAUCCUUCCUUCACUGCAAUUUUACCUUUGGCGGUCGAUUAUCAAUAUAAGUAUAACUUCUUCCCUUGUCUUUUACCUUAUAAAGUUUUACUGAACACUUAAUUUCUCCAUUCUAUGUUUACUUCUUCUUUACAUCAUUCCUCUUCGCUAUGUCUUCACCAAACCCUCACUCUCGAGAAGUCUCCAUUGUUGAUUCUUUCCCCAAUGCCCCUGUUAGGCAUAGAAUGGGAGGUAGGCUUCGUAGCUUAGGAUCUACUCGAGGUGGUUCGUCUAUGCCUUCUUCUAGUUCUGGUCCCUCUUCUAGAAUCAGAUGUUCCCUUUCUCACAAAUCUUCUUCUAGGAGUAAAGAACCUUCUGAACCAUUACGCGAACCUUUAGUAGAAGAGAUAGUCCCUACAGAAAUAUCUUUUUACAACGAUAGGGAAUCUCUUAGAAACCAGACUGCCGCUUUAGAUCGUGUCGAUACUUACCCCCACUCAAAUUACAAAAGUUUUGACUCCUGUGGUUCGUAAGGACUGUCAUUGGAGUAACGAUUUUUCCAUUAAUAUCCCUAAUCCGAAUCAGAGGAUAACUUCUUAUUUAACUGGGUUUUCUUUUGUUUACAUAUACCCUUUUACUUUAGGGUUCAAACCAACGAUUGACCCAAUCAUUCUCGAAUUUUGCCGUUUCUUCAAUGUCUGUUUGGGCCAAAUUGGUCUGAUUGUAUGGAGGGUUGUUGCCUGUCUAAGGCAUUUAGCCACUAAAGCCGAAGUUCCUUUUACUUUUCCCCACUUGAUUCAUCUUUACUCACCUAGGCUUUUUCGCAAUGGUGUUUUUACACUAGUAGCCAGGAGUAAGAGGGUUUUGGUGAGUCCCGAAGAUGACAAAGACCACGGCUGGUAUGCCCGAUUUAUUGCUGCCCCCACUGUUGGUUUAGUCAGUGAGGAUAAUGUUCCCUUCCCUGAGAAGUGAAAUUUUGCACGUAAGUCUUUUAACCUUCUCGUACCUUUUUCCUUCAAGUUUGUCAACUUCUAUAAUUUUGCUUUUGUUGUUUUUUUUAGCUACCAUGGGAGUUGUGGGGGAUGUUCCCAACUUCCGUGGUUGGGUAGAUAAAUUACUGAAGAUCACACCGAUGGACGGUAGGUCUUGGAAAGCACUUUCUAACCGUUUUGGUUUGAAGGUAAAGACUCAUGGUAAAAAUUUAUAUUUUGUGCCUUUCGUGUCUAUAUUCUCUUUUAUUGCUCUAAUUUCUAUCCUUUUUUUCGUUAGAAUUUGUUAUUCGAGGAGUUACUGCUGAAGCAGUUGCGGCUUCUCAUGUUUCCUCAGGAACCCGUACUCCUUCAGGAACUCGUAUCUCUCUAGAAAGAGCCCGGGAAAUAGUUUUGGGUUCUUCUUCUACAAAAAUGAAAGUUGCAGAAGAGGAAGACUCUGAAGAAGAGGGAGAUGAGGGCUCCCUGGUGACAAGGCCUCGAGUUAGGAGACGCAUCGUAUCUGAUGACGAAGCUGAAGUGUCGGUUUCUCUUACCGAACCUGUUGAAACUCCAAUAAUAAUUCUUGACGAUGACGUCACUCCCCAUGAUACUCGUGAGUCUAUUGACCAACUUUUCGUCAGCGGAUUUGGCCGUGAAGAUAUUGGACCUGUUUUAGACGAAGUACCAUUAUCUUCUUUUCCAACUCCCAUGCUUGAGGUUCCUUCCUUACCUGCCCCAGCUAUUUCCGUUCCUUCUUCUACUGCUUUCACCUCUUCUCCGGCUCCUCCUUUGACUAUUCCCCCUCCUAUCGUUCAUCAUACAGAAGCGGGCUCUUCAAGUAGAAGUGCCGCUAUGAUGCGGGUAACUAUUGAAGUUCCUGCCGAGAGCAGCCUUUUGAGAAAGUCAGGUCAGGCAGAUGCAUAGUUGGAGCCUUUAAUCGGCCCAAUUGAAAAAGCCAAGUUGGAGAGUCAUAGUUCCCUAACUUUAAUGAAUGAUAUCGUAUAUGCUGCUUUGAAGGUACUUUCCUUCUCUUCCUUUUUUGCUUUAUAAUUCGACUAUCUUUGAGGAUUCUUACUUCCUUUUCCCCUUUUCAGGCCAACCUUAUUGGCACAGAAAUAAUGAAAAGAAUCGCCCCCUUGGACAAGAUAGCACGUGAUUCUCAUUCGGAAGCAAUCAAUUGGAAGGAGCAAUUUGAGAGUGCGCAGAUUGAUAUAGAAGACUUACAAGAGAGCAAGAGUACCUUAGAGCAGCGGGUGCAGGCUUUAACUUCAGAAUUGGCGGUUGCAAAAGCUUUUUUAAGCCAAGCAGAAAAAGAUAAAGAACGUCUCGAGUCCUCCUUCUCAGAGCAACUAUCUAAAACUAGUGAAGAAAUCAGAGAGUUAAAAGCUUUUUUGGACCGAAAGGAAGUUUACGCUGGGGAGUUUGUGCAAAACUUGACUCAAGCACAAGAGGAUCUUAGAAUCUCUGCUGAUAAAGUGCGUGUUUUAGAAUGCUCCCAUGCCUCUCUUCAAGUUUCCCACAACUCCGCCUUGGCUGAAAAUGAAGAGCUAAAGAAUGAGAUCGCUACUUGGGAAAAGGAUUAUGAGAUCCUUGAAGAAAAAUUUGUUGUCGAGACAAGUUGGGCAUUUUUGAAUUCUCGUCGUGAUACCCUACUUGAAGCUAGUCAAGAAAACUUCAACUUGGAGUUGGAGUUAGCUAAGAUCAACGAAACCAUUAAAAAAGCUCAACAAACUCAGGACUUCCCUUCUCCCGUGGUUGAAGCUCCCGUGAAUGUUGAAGCUGAUAUGGGUAUCCCAAUUGUUUCAAGCCCAAUCAAAUCUGUUGCUACAAGCCAAAUUGAAGCCGCGUCUGUUGAUGUAGCUGCCCAAAUUGAACCCACUGCUGUUGAUGCUCCUGCUUCGGUUCCUCAAACUUCUCACUGACCGGUUUUGAACAUUCUAGUGAUUUUGCUUUUGUUUUGGAAAACUAUAAUCAGACCCUUAACUUUAUUUGAGGGUUGAUUUUGAAGUCGUAAGUCCCCAAGUCUUUUAUGGGGCAAUCUAUAUAGACAAUCUCGUAGUUUUAUGACUAGGUUUGUCCUUAGUCUUAGGUUUUUACAUAUUAAUAAGUUCUUCAUGUUAUUAUUAUAAACUUCUGUUUCCUUUAUUCUUGCCUUAAUUUUUAAGGACUUACAGAAUAAUUUGCAUUUUUAUUCUUCGAAAAUGCUUCUGUUAUCCUCAUGACUAAUUAAUUUGAACAUGAGUUUUAUAAAAGAGGGCCCUUUUAUAUUUCGACACUUAAUGAAGUAGACGUCUCAACUUCAUAAUGGUGUUAACAUACGAUAAAAGAAAUAGGAACACACAUGUUUCUUUGAAAUAACUUUGAAAAGUUGUUAUUGGAACUUAUAAUUCUUUACAUGUAUUUGAAGUACAUCUAUAACUUUCUCGUAAUUAUUUUUCUUGUAACAGAUUUUUACAAAAGAAGAGUAAUAAGUACGGGUUUUUUCCUUAUAACCCAUUUUAGUAUAUGGCCUUUACCCUAAUACCCUAACUAUAAUGAAUUUUUUGUUUCUCUUUAGCCUCAGCUCGUGGCUCCAUCUCGUAACUUUUACUCUGCACUUGUCUCUUUUAGGCUUGAUUUUCCCUCAAUCUUCUUUGCCUUCUUUAUACACAUGUCUAUGUAUAUUAGGUAGUCCCCUAAGUGUUUGAGUGUUUAAGUAUGAAGCCUCGAGUACUUGAUAGUUCCUCUCAUUUGGUCCUUUUCCUGAAAAGGAAAAACACACGGGACUCGGAGGGGCGAUUAUAGAUGAAGACUGCAUACCCCGUAUUUAUUUCUAUCAUAAUAGUUGUAACCGUAGGCCAGGAAUUUUAGAUUACUCCGUGUGCCUUACAGGUCGUGACUCAUCAUUUAGUAUGAGAUAGCUUUUUGCCUAUCAUCUAAAAUCGUUAGUAAAAUUUUAACAAUUCAAAAAUGAAAUAUAAAAUGGUUAUACCUGACCGUGGGUUUCCCUUAGAAAUAGUAUCUCUUCAAAUGAACAGAAUUCCAAUGUGAAGGUAGUACUUUGCCAUCCAUUGUUUCUAGUUCAUAUGCUCCUUUUCCUGCAACAUCAUGAACUCUGUAGGGUCCUUCCCAUGUUGGACUUAAUUUUCCUGCGUUAGCUGCUUUUGUAGAUUGAAAAACUUUUUUAAGCACGAAGUCCCUAAUUUUAAAGAACCUGAGGCGUGCUUUUCUGUUGUAGUAUCGUUCUAUGACCUGUUUUUGUGUUGCCAUUCUUAUUAGUGCAACUUCUCUCCUUGCUAAUUUUAAAGAACCCGAGGCGUGCUUUUCUGUUUUAGUAUCGUUCUAUGACCUGUUUUUGUGUUGCCAUUCUUAUUAGUGCAACUUCUUUCCUUGCUUCGAGUAAAUCUAGGUUGACCCGCAUCUCCUCAUCAUUAGAUUCUUGUGUCGCCUACGUGAAUCGGGUACUCGGUUCUCCUAUCUCGACUGGAAUCAAAGCUUCAGUUCCAUAAACCAAUGAAAACGGUGUUUCUCCCGUACUAGUUUUCGCCAUUGUACGAUAUGCCCAUAAAACACUGUGAGCACGUGAUUUUUGCUUCACGAAAACUACUCCAAAAGAAAUCGAAAAAUAAAACAAAUUGCCUUUGGGGUACAAUUUUGAGAAUUUUGCGUGACAUUUUGGAUAAUUAUUUUUGUCUGUGAAUGUUUACUUUGUUUUAAUUAAUUACAAAAUAUCAAAAUACCUGUUGCGUACAUAUUUAGGAUUUAAUUAUGCAUUUUUGAAUUAAUUAAACCAUGUCCUAUUUUAAUGAAAUGAAAAUCACAAAAAUAUGAAUUUUUGGUAGCUUUGUCAUUUUUAUUGUUUAAUUGUGUGAUUUUAUUUUAAUCAAUAUUUGAUCUUGUGUGUUAAUUAUUGUUAAGGGUUAAUUAAUAUCUUUUUAAAAUAAUCUUGGUUUUACAAUUUAAUUUAGGAAUUUUGGUUUUUAGGAAUUAAAAGAAAAUGAAAGGAAAAAAGAAAAGAGUGAAAAUUGGGNAANNCNNNNNNNNNNNNNAUUUCGGCACCUCAGAUCUAAGCCGUUGAUUUUUUCCAUUAGACGGCUCAGUUCAACCCAACAUUAUUUGAAACGAUGCCGUUUUAGGCAAGUUGAUCCGAGCCGUCCGUUCCCAAUGAUCUAACGGUCCCAGCCUUCCCCCAUAACCCGGUCCAUUUCAACCCGGGUCGACCCAGUCUCGAUGCAUGACCAAACGUCACUGUUUCCUUUAAGUGAAUUGAUCCAGGCCGUUGAUCGUGCUUGAACCAACGACCAAGAUUAAACCACCCCUCCCUAUAUAACCUUAAUCUCUACCCAACCCCCCCAAACCAUACCCCCUUGUUCAUCGUCUCUCUCAGAGACGGAACCUCACCAUAGCCCAAACCCUAGCCACCCUCUCACACCUCCGCCUAAAACCCGGCGGCAACAACGCCGCCGGUCACCAAAUUAACACCCCUAAGCCAUCUGACCACCCUCAUUACGGAUCCGCUAACCGUUUGCCACGAAUCAACCUCUAGCUUCUCGAAUCUUCAAUCGAAGAUUCAAGCAGAACCUAAACCUACCUAAACAGUCCGAAACUCACACCACAACACACUCUGACCACCCUCGUUACAGAUCUGUUAACCGUUUGCCUCGAAUCAACCUCCAGCUUCUUGAAUCUUCAAUCGAAGAUUCAAGUAGAACCUAAACCUACCCCAACCAGUCCCAAACUCACACCACGGCACCCCCUGACCUCCCUCGUGCCCAAAAUACCUUUGGCCUGGUUCGAAUCUUGCUAGAACUAUUCGAACCCCAAAUGGAACAAAGACCCCUAUAAAGACCAAACCUGGGCUUUGUCCGAAAUUAGAGGAAUUUGGGCGUCUAAUCGACCUUAGUCGAAGUGUUUUCCGUUGAGAACACUCUAUUAAGGUCCGUUCGACCUCAAAAAGUUUGAGUCAAGAGUUCGACCUGGGUUCGUCUAGUUUUGUGUUGUUAAGGUAUUUUUCUUCUUUCUCUCUUGUUCUAUUUUUUGUUACGGUUAAUUGUGUUUAGUUUUAGUUAUAAUCCAGUUUUGUUCAUUGCUUCUUCUUCUUCUCAAAUCAGGCCUUCUUAUUUGGUCGAGUCUGCUUCUAUUCAUGGUCGAAUAUAUGCUAUUAGCCAUGUAAUCUGUUAGUUCGUAAGUUCCCUGUUUUUGUCAAUACCACUCGAAUCACUUGUUGGUCUGCUUAUUCUAAUUGUUUGUUGUUAACUGCUAAAUGUUGUAAUUUGUGUAAUCGAUUGAAUAAGUGUCGUCGAUUAGUCUGUUAUGCUUGAAUGUUAGAUUAGCAUGAUAAUAGUUUAAUUUUUGGUUCAUUCCAGUAGGUUUACCCUCCUAUUUCUUUUCUGUUCUAAUUUUGUGUUGAAAUAAGCCUGUUGGUAUCAUUUGUUUCAAAUUGUUCCAAUUUCCCUUUCUCAUUGUUAUUCACUAUGCUUUUCAUAUGAGUUCAGUUUGUUUCGUUUCGUUCAGUAUUCAUUUGUUCUAGGUUAGAAUUGGUUUCAUUCUGAUGAUAUUUGAUCUAAACUAAGUUUCUAGCUUGAUUCGUUAACUGAUUCUGAUAAAGUUUGAAUUGGUUAUAUCUGAUAUGUUUAUUGGUUUAGAGUCAGUUCAUUUGUUUUCAGUCAUUAAUUAAGGAUUAGUUUAGGUUAAUCAGUGAUUAGGUUUCUUAUUUAAGAAUUGGAUAUAGCUGAUGUGGUCGUAGGGGUUUGAGGCAGAAUAGUUGUUCAGGGCAUCACAGGGGUAAUGUGGGGUGUCAAAACUUGAUAAAUGCUUUAGUUUGAAUGGCUGUCAGUAGGGUACUAAAGUACCAAUAAACUAAUGAAUUGUUUGGUAAUAGUGGGGAACAAGGCUUAAUGACAUGGGAAGUUGAUUAAAUAAGUUAAGUCACCCAUAACCUUGGAUUAAAAAAAA